CCGGUUGAUCCUGCCGGAGGCGACCGCUAUUGGAGUUCGAUUAAGCCAUGCGAGUCUAGAGGCUUAGGCCUCGGCGUACCGCUCAGUAACACGUGGAUAACCUGCCCUGUUCAGGGGGAUAACCUCGCGAAAGUGAGAAUAAUACCCCAUAGUUCACCAUGCCUGGAACGGUUGGUGGAUGAAAGCUCUGGCGGAACAGGAUGGGUCUGCGGCGUAUCAGGUAGUAGGGGGUGUAAUGGACCUCCUAGCCCUCGACGCGUACGGGUUGUGGGAGCAAUCGCCCGGAGAUGGAUUCUGAGACACGAAUCCAGACCCUACGGGGUGCAGCAGGCGCGAAAACUUGACAAUGCGAGAAAUCGUGAUCAGGGAACUCCAAUUGUCCCCGUUUUUACGGGGUUCUGAAUUGACUCUAAACAGGUCGAGUAAUAGGGGCGGGAAAUAUCGGUGCCAGCCGCCGCGGUAAUACCGAAGCCCCAAGUGGUCGUCGUUCUUAUUGGGCCUAAAACGUCCGUAGCCGGUUUGGUACAUUCGUGGGUAAAUCAGACAGCUUAACUGUCUGAAUUCUGCGAGCACGGCCAAACUUGAGACCGGGAGAGGUGUAGGGUACCUGCGGGGUAGGGGUAAAAUCCUGUCAUCCCGUAGGGACCACCAGUUGCGAAGGCUCUACACUAGAACGGAUCUGACGGUCAGGGACGAAGCCUAGGGGCACGAACCGGAUUAGAUACCCGGGUAGUCCUAGGUGUAAACGCUGUGGACUUGAUGUUGGGGGCGCUCCGAGCGCACUCAGUGUCGAAGCGAAGGUGAUAAGUCCACUGCCUGGGGAGUACGGUCGCAAGGCUGAAACUUAAAGGAAUUGGCGGGGGAGCACCGCAACCUGAGGAUUGUGCGGUUUAAUUGGAUCAACGCCGGG
rnacentral:rRNA from 1 species